UUGCUGGAAAUGUAAGCAAACGAGGAGUACCUUCUUUCACGCUUGGUGGCUUUGCCCAAAAAGUAAAAAGUACUGGAAAAAAAUUAGAAUUUGGAUAAAGGAAAUCACAAAUAUACAACUAGAAUUUAAGGCUGAAAUAUUUUUGUUGGGAAUGUUAUAAAGUAAACACCCAAAAG